ACGCACCUCGCGCUCCCGGGAUAUGCCUGGGAGCAUGCUUGUCGGGGAGGAGGAGG
rnacentral:rRNA from 1 species